AUAACAAAUUUCGUGCAAAUUUAGGGUGAAUAAAUAGUUAAAUUUUUAUGAUAAUAAAAAUAUUUUCUUUAUUUAUUUAUUGUCAUUAUAAAUGCACUAAUUUACACAAUAUACAAAACACUUUCUUUUUAAAGUCAAAUAUUAAGGCCAUUUAUGUAUGUCAUAGUUUUUAUAUGAGAUUCCUGCUAUUAUUAAUAAUAUAAGGAUAGAGAGCAGUGAGUAUUAAACGGUAUGCACUUUACUAAAUAGAACUCAC